rnacentral:rRNA from 1 species
UACGUAGGGUGCAAGCGUUAAUCGGAAUUACUGGGCGUAAAGCGUGCGCAGGCGGUUUUGUAAGCCAGAUGUGAAAUUCCCGGGCUUAACCUGGGGGCUGCAUUUGAUACGUGUUGUCUAGAGUGAGGAAGAGGGUUGUGGAAUUCCCAGUGUAGAGGUGAAAUUCGUAGAUAUUGGGAAGAACACCGGUGGCGAAGGCGGCAACCUGGUCCUUGACUGACGCUGAGGCGCGAAAGCGUGGGGAGCAAACAGG